AGAGCCACUGCGCAGGCGCGACCCACGCCCCUUCCUCCCGGGCGACGGAAGCGCGCGAGGGCCACGCCUCGCGGCCCUCGUACUGGCCCGGAGGACAGCUACGUCAUCAGCAUCGGCGCGGCGAUUGCCAGAGCCGGGUCUGGGGGCGGGGCGGGGCGAGGAGCCUGAUUCCGGGGGCUGAUCAGGGACAAAAUUGAUGGGCUGGCGCGUGCGCGCCCAGGGAUACGUCAGUUCCGCGUAGCAACGGCACCGUGUGUCCCGUUGCUAUGGGCGCCCACAGAGUUCCGGACUGGGCAGUCGCUCAGAGGCAGGUGCUGGAGGAGCCGAGAGGUCCUGAUAGUCGAAGUCCCAGCGACGCCGCGGAGGCCAUGAGGACUCACGUGUCCCCACGUGGGGCUGUGCUUCUGGACUUGACGUUUAUUACCGUCACCAUGGAAACAGCUCGUGCUCGAGUCACCAACUGGCUGCACUACCCACUGGUGGAUGCCCCACUUCCUGGAGACCUUGACGCCAUACCCUGCCAGCCUCCCACCUUCUCACAGACAGCUUUCAUCCGAGAGUUGGCGGAGCUGGAAAGCUGGAACCUGGCCCUCGCGGCUCCCCCUCUGUCAGGUGAGCCCCAUGCAGGACCAAGUGAGGCGCAGCCUUGGCGAAAGCCUCAGAGUUCUCCCCGUCAAAUGAGGGAUGGCAGCAGCAGCCCUUCCCUCGCGGGGUGUGAGAGCCAGCGGAUGUGAGAGCUGCCAAGUGGGCGGCCACCCUCACCCCCGUGCUGCACAGGAGCCUCCCCUUGGAGUCCCCUCCUCCUGGGGUCCCCCCAUGGUGGCCAGGCUCUUCCCGGUCCCACCCUGUCCUGCCACGUGGACGUCUGCCUGCCUGCCCCGCAGAUCACAACCUCUUGCUUUUCUUGCCUCGACCACGAGCAACCACAGCACAGCCCUUUCUGAUUUCCAGGUAUGUGUCGGGAAGUUCUUGGUUGCCUUGUGAAGUGGCAUGUCAGUCCUGGCAGGCCUCAGCCUCGGCCCCAGACCCAGAGUACACCGAGGAGUCAGGGCCUGCAGGUCAGGGGAGGUGGAGUGUGCAGGGGGGACCAGGACAAAAUUGUUUCCCGGAGAAUGUUCCCAGAUGGAGCGCAGACUCAAGGACCUUUAAAAAUUGCCUGGGACGAUGCCAGGGGCAGGGCUUCGGCGAUAAGGGCUUCCAGGAGAGGGUUUCCUUGGCUGGAGAUGGGUGUGGGGGCUCCUCUCAGUGGGCCUCAGCAUCCAGCAGAGAUGAAGUAAAGCCAGAGCCUUCUCCAGGGGCUGGGGGCGUGUGCCUUCCAGCUGCUCUGCCCUCUCCAGGGAUUGAGGGCGUGUUUCGGGGGAAGGAGCUCAUCACUAAGCUUGUCUAGAGUGUGUGGCUGCGCUGUCAGGAAAGGACCCACCAGCACUCUCGUGCUUUUUCUCCCACUACCUGCAUGGUGCUCCACAAGCCUGGCCCGGGGCUCAGCGUCGGCAGGGGACCCAUACGAGUGGCUAAUGGGCUUGGACCACUGAGCACCCAGGGAACUGGGGUGGGGGACACAGCCCUGCUUAGGGGCAUUCUGCCCCUUGGGGGCAGAUCAGGCCCAAGUCCCAGGCUGAAGUCAGCUGCCUGCUGACCACUGGUCAGGUGUAAAGAGAAACAUGCAGUGGCCACACAGGCCACAGUCCCACUCAGGCUUUCCUGGGCUUGACUUGAGGGGGUCGGGGGAGGGGG
rnacentral:lncRNA from 1 species